GAUGAACGCUGGCGGCGUGCCUAACACAUGCAAGUCGAGCGAUCUCUUUUGAGAGAGCGGCGGACGGGUGAGUAACGCGUGGGUAACCUGCCCUGUACACACGGAUAACAUACCGAAAGGUAUGCUAAUACGGGAUAAUAUACUUUGGUGGCAUCACCUGAGUAUCAAAGAUUUAUCGGUACAGGAUGGACCCGCGUCUGAUUAGCUAGUUGGCGAGGUAACGGCUCACCAAGGCUUCGAUCAGUAGCCGACCUGAGAGGGUGAUCGGCCACAUUGGAACGGAGACACGGUCCAAACUCCUACGGGAGGCAGCAGUGGGGAAUAUUGCACAAUGGGCGAAAGCCUGAUGCAGCAACGCCGCGUGAGCGAUGAAGGCCUUCGAGUCGUAAAGCUCUGUCCUCAAGGAAGAUAAUGACGGUACUUGAGGAGGAAGCCCCGGCUAACUACGUGCCAGCCGCCGCCGUAAGAC
rnacentral:rRNA from 1 species